AUGCUCCAUUGGUCUUUUUGUGUUUUCUACCCACCUUUACUUCCGUGGCGGUGAGAUAGUGUGAUGUCUUUACUGGGCUGGUGUAGCUCAUUCUUUAUUUAACUAUUUCAGAUCAGGAAGACGUUGUUCCCGAGCCCGUUCCGCAGGAAGACGGCGAAGGGGACGCCUAAAGACUCCGUAGUUAUAUUUAUAGUUCUUAUUUUCGAGUAUUUCUUUU
rnacentral:lncRNA from 1 species